UACGGGGGGGGCAAGCGUUGUUCGGAAUUACUGGGCGUAAAGGGCUCGUAGGCGGCCAACUAAGUCGGAUGUGAAAUCCCCAAGCUUAACUUGGGAACUGCAUCCGAUACUGGAUGGCUUGAAUCCGGGAGAGGGAUGCAGAAUUCCAGGUGUAGCGGUGAAAUGCGUAGAUAUCUGGAGGAAUACCGGUGGCGAAGGCGGCAUCCUGGACCGGCAUUGACGCUGAUGCGCGAAAGCCGGGGGAGCGAACGGG
rnacentral:rRNA from 1 species